rnacentral:rRNA from 1 species
GUAACACCCGAAGCCGGUGGAGUAACCUUUUAGGAGCUAGCCGUCGAAGGUGGGACAAAUGAUUGGGGUGAAGUCGUAACAAGGUAGCCGUAUCGGAAGGUGCGGCUGGAUCACCUCCUUU